GAGGGUAUAUCUCAGUGGUAGAGCAUGUACUUAGCAAGCAUGAGGUCCUGGGUUCAAUCCCCAAUACUGCCA
rnacentral:tRNA from 1 species